UACGAAGGGGGCUAGCGUUGCUCGGAAUUACUGGGCGUAAAGCGCACGUAGGCGGAUUGUUAAGUCGGGUGUGAAAUCCUGGAGCUCAACUCCAGAACUGCCUUCGAAACUGGCGAUCUUGAGUCCGGGAGAGGUGAGUGGAACUGCGAGUGUAGAGGUGAAAUUCGUAGAUAUUCGCAAGAACACCAGUGGCGAAGGCGGCUCACUGGCCCGGUACUGACGCUGAGGUGCGAAAGCGUGGGGAGCAAACAGG
rnacentral:rRNA from 1 species